UACGGGGGGAGCAAGCGUUGUUCGGAUUUACUGGGCGUAAAGGGCGCGUAGGCGGCCUCUGCAAGUCGACUGUGAAAUCUCCGGGCUUAACCCGGAACGGUCAGCCGAUACUGCAGGGCUAGAGUGCAGAAGGGGCAACCGGAAUUCUCGGUGUAGCGGUGAAAUGCGUAGAUAUCGAGAGGAACACCUGCGGCGAAGGCGGGUUGCUGGGCUGACACUGACGCUGAGGCGCGAAAGCUAGGGUAGCAAACGGG
rnacentral:rRNA from 1 species